rnacentral:tRNA from 1 species
GGGGCCCCGUGAUGUCCAGCAUAUAAAAUUGCAAAUUUUAAAGAGCAAAGUAGCUUCUUGCCGGGGCUU